rnacentral:rRNA from 1 species
UACGUAGGGUGCAAGCGUUAAUCGGAAUUACGUGGGCGUAAAGCGUGCGCAGGCGGUUUUGUAAGUCAGAUGUGAAAUCCCCGGGCUUAACCUGGGAACUGCGUUUGAAACUACAAGGCUAGAGUGUGGCAGGAGGGGGGUGGAAAUUCCACGGUGUAGCAGUGAAAUGCGUAGAGAUGUGGAGGAACACCGAUGGCGAAGGCAGCCCCCUGGGUAACACUGACGCUCAGGCACGAAAGCGUGGGGAGCAAACAGG